UACGUAGGGGGCUAGCGUUGUCCGGAUUUAUUGGGCGUAAAGAGCGUGUAGGCGGCCAGGUAGGUCUGCUGUGAAAACUCGAGGCUCAACCUCGAGAUGUCGGCGGAAACCAUCUGGCUAGAGUCCGGAAGAGGAGAGUGGAAUUCCUGGUGUAGCGGUGAAAUGGCGCAGAUAUCAGGAAGAACACCCGUGGCGAAGGCGGCUCUCUGGGACGGUACUGACGCUGGGACGGCGAAAGCGUGGGGAGCGAACAGG
rnacentral:rRNA from 1 species